GAUGAAGAACGUAGUGAAAUGCGAUAAGUAAUGUGAAUUGCAGAAUUCAGUGAAUCAUCGAAUCUUUGAACGCACAUUGCGCCCGCUAGUAUUCUGGCGGGCAUGCCUGUCCGAGCGUCAUUUCAACCCUCAAGCCCCCGGGCUUGGUGUUGGGGAUCGGCGAGCCUCCGCGCCCGCCGUCCCCUAAAUCUAGUGGCGGUCUCGCUGUAGCUUCCUCUGCGUAGUAGCACACCUCGCACUGGGAAACAGCGCGGCCACGCCGUUAAACCCCCAACUUCUGAACGUUUGGCCUCGGAUCAGGUAGGAAUACCCGCUGAACUUAAGCAUAUCAAUAAGCGGAGGA
rnacentral:misc_RNA from 1 species